rnacentral:rRNA from 1 species
UACGGGGGGGAGCAAGCGUUGUUCGGAUUUACUGGGCGUAAAGGGCGCGUAGGCGGUCAGUGCAAGUCAGUUGUGAAAUCUCCGAGCUUAACUCGGAAAGGUCAACUGAUACUGCUCGACUAGAGUGCGGAAGGGGCAACUGGAAUUCUUGGUGUAGCGGUGAAAUGCGUAGAUAUCAAGAGGAACACCUGCGGCGAAGGCGGGUUGCUGGGCCGACACUGACGCUGAAGCGCGAAAGCGUGGGGAGCGAACAGG